GGAAUUUUGCGCAAUGGGCGCAAGCCUGACGCAGCAACGCCGCGUGGAGGAAGAAGGCCCUCGGGUCGUAAACUCCUGUCCUUGGGGAAGAUGGUGACGGUACCCUUGGAGGAAGCCCCGGCUAACUCCGUGCCAGCAGCCGCGGUAAUACGGAGGGUGCAAGCGUUAAUCGGAAUUACUGGGCGUAAAGCGCACAUAGGCGGUAUGUUAAGUUGGAUGUGAAAGCCCCGGGCUCAACCUGGGAAUUGCAUUCAAAACCGGCCUGCUAGAGUAUGUGAGAGGGGGGUAGAAUUCCAAGUGUAGCGGUGAAAUGCGUAGAGAUUUGGAGGAAUACCAGUGGCGAAGGCGGCCCCCUGGCACAAUACUGACGCUCAGGUGCGAAAGCGUGGGGAGCAAAC
rnacentral:rRNA from 1 species